UGUUAAAAGUCGCUCCCUCCAGUGG
rnacentral:piRNA from 1 species